rnacentral:rRNA from 1 species
AUCAUUCAUAGAGUGUAAAGGCAUAAGGGAGCUUGACUGCGAGACCUACAAGUCGAGCAGGGUCGAAAGACGGACUUAGUGAUCCGGUGGUUCCGCAUGGAAGGGCCAUCGCUCAACGGAUAAAAGCUACCCCGGGGAUAACAGGCUUAUCUCCCCCAAGAGUUCACAUCGACGGGGAGGUUUGGCACCUCGAUGUCGGCUCAUCGCAUCCUGGGGCUGUAGUCGGUCCCAAGGGUUGGGCUGUUCGCCCAUUAAAGCGGUACGCGAGCUGGGUUCAGAACGUCGUGAGACAGUUCGGUCCCUAUCCGUCGUGGGCGUAGGAAAUUUGAGAGGAGCUGUCCUUAGUACGAGAGGACCGGGAUGGACAUACCUCUGGUGUACCAGUUGUCGUGCCAACGGCAUAGCUGGGUAGCUAUGUGUGGACGGGAUAAGUGCUGAAAGCAUCUAAGCAUGAAGCCCCCCUCAAGAUGAGAUUUCCCAACUUCGGUUAUAAGAUCCCUCAAAGAUGAUGAGGUUAAUAGGUUCGAGGUGGAAGCAUGGUGACAUGUGGAGCUGACGAAUACUAAUCGAUCGAAGACUUAAUCAA